GCUGAGCAUAAUGGUACAUUGCCUUUAAUCCCAGCACUCGGGAUGCAAAGGCAAGCAGAUAUCGACCAGGACAGCUAGGGCUACAUAGUGAGACCCUGCCUCAAAAACAGAAAUGAAAUCUUUUCUAAAAUAAAGAUAAUCUUGGGGCCAUGGUGGAUAAGCUUGAUCUCGUCUUCCCUGAAGUCUGGUUCCUUGGCAGGAAUUAUGAUGGUAACCCUCAUGACCCGUAAAGACAUCCCCCCGUGGGUGAAAGUUCCUGAAGACCUGAAAGAUCCAGAAGUAUUCCAGGUCCAGUCGCUGGUACUGAAAUCUCUGUUUGGCCCACAGGGAUCUCGAAUGUCUCACAUUGAGCAGGUGAGCCAGGCCAUGUUUGAGCUGAAGAACCUGGAAUCUCCCGAAGAACUUAUCGAGGUCUUCCUUUACGGCUCUCAAAACAACAAGGUUCUGGCUAAAUGGAUACUUCAGUCCAUGGCUGAGAGGUACCGCCUGCGCCAGCAAAAAGGAGUGCUGAAGCUGGAGGAAUCCAUGAAGACCCUGGAGCUAGGCCAGUGUAUCGAGUGAAGCCAGUUUCCAGUCAUUGUGUCUCCCACCUGGACGCGGGUUAAGCUGUGGCCAGUGUUUGGUUCUGGCGGGAUUUUUAGCUUUGUUACAUCCUAGCAAGAUAUUCCUGGAUCCC